rfam:Parastrongyloides trichosuri strain KNP genome assembly, scaffold: PTRK_scaffold0000014
CCAACGGCCCUCUUUAGGGCCAACCAAAAAAUGAUACUCAUUAUUU